CUAGGUGGUUGCUAAGGUGUUGCUAUGGUAUCCAGGGUGGUUGCUAAGGUGUUGCUAGGUGGUUGCUAAGGUGUUGCUAUGGUAUCCGGGGUGGUUGCUAAGGUGUUGCUAGGUGGUUGCUAAGGUGUUGCUAGGCGGUUGCUAAGGUGUUGCUAUGGUGUCUUGGGUGGUUGCUAAGAUGUUGCUAUGGUAUCUGGGGUGGUUGCUAAGGUGUUGCUAGGUGUAUCUAACUGGUCGCUAGGCAGUUGCUACCAUUUCUAAAGUGGUUGCUAAGCAGUUGCUAGGCAGUUGCUAACGUUUUCCAGGUGGUUGCUAAGGUGUUGCUAUCUGGUUGCUAGGCAGUUGCUAACGUAUUACACAUGGUUGCUAAGUGGUUGCUAGGCAGUUGCUAAUGUUUUCCUAGUGGUUGCUAAGGUGUAUCUAACUGGUUCCUAGGCAGUAGUAGAUAAAAAGAAAGAGUGUUAAAUGUAGAAGUACAGAAAAAGGGAGAGCCUGAAAUAGAGAAGUAGAGAGAAAAUCAGCGUGAGAAGUAGAGAAAGAACACCCGAGAAUGUGAGAAAAAGAGUGACAAGUAGAGAGAAAUAUUGAGCAAGAGAAAGAGAAUUAGGGAAAAAGAGAGAUCGAGAAAUAAAGAAGUAGAGAAAGAAAAAGGAUGUAGUAGAGAGAUAGAUAGAAAGAGAAAGCAAGACAGAAAAGUAGAGUGAAAGAGAAGUAGAGAGAAGAGCGAGAAAUAAAGAGAGAAUAAGAGAGAAAUAGAGAAAUAGAAAAGUAGAAAGAAAGAGACAUAGAAAAGUAGAGAGAGUGAGAAAGAGAGAGUGAGAAAUAGAGAAGUAGAGAGAGAGUGAGAAAGAGAGAGUGAGAAAUAGAGAAGUAGAGAGAGUGAGAAAUAGAGACGUAGAGAGAGAGUGAGAAAGAGAGUGAGAAAUAUAGAAGUAGAGAGAGUGAGAAAUAAAGAGAAAUAGAGACGUAGAGAGAGAGUGAAAAAGAGAGUGAGAAAUAUAGAAGUAGAGAGAGUGAGAAAUAUAGAAGUAGAGAGAGAGUGAGAAAGAGUGAGAAAUAGAGAAGUAGAGAGAGUGAGAAAUAGAGACGUAGAAAAGAGUGAGAAAGAGAGAGUGAGAAAUAGAGAAGUAGAGAGAGAGUGAGAAAUAAAGAGAAAUAGAGACAUAGAGAGAGAGUGAAAAAGAGAGUGAGAAAUAUAGAAGUAGAGAGAGUGAGAAAUAUAGAAGUAGAGAGAGAGAGUGAGAAAUAGAGACGUAGAGAGAGAGUGAGAAAUAGAGACGUAGAGAGAGAGUGAGAAAGAGUGAGAAAUAGAGAAGUAGAGAGAGUGAGAAAUAGAGACGUAGAAAAGAGUGAGAAAGAGAGAG